AGUGAACGCUAGCGGUGCGCCUAACACAUGCAAGUCGAACGGUAGCAGGCCCGCAAGGGUGCUGACGAGUGGCGGACGGGUGAGUAAAGCGUAGGGAUCUGCCUAUGGGAGUGGGAUAACUUGGGGAAACUCAAGCUAAUACCGCGUAAAACUGAGAAGUCAAAGCAUGGGACCGCAAGGCCAUGCGCCUGUAGAUGAACCUACGUCAGAUUAGCUAGUUGGUGGGGUAAAGGCCUACCAAGGCGACGAUCUGUAGCUGUUCUGAGAGGAAGGACAGCCACACUGGGACUGAGACACGGCCCAGACUCCUACGGGAGGCAGCAGUGGGGAAUAUUGGACAAUGGGGGAAACCCUGAUCCAGCAAUGCCGCGUGUGUGAAGAAGGCCUGAGGGUUGUAAAGCACUUUCGGUGGGGAGGAAUGGUAUUGGUGCUAAUAGUACUAAUAUUUGACGUUACCCAAAUAAGAAGCACCGGCUAACUCUGUGCCAGCCGCCGCCGUAA
rnacentral:rRNA from 1 species